rnacentral:misc_RNA from 1 species
UGUCGAAUCCUGCACAGCAGAACAACCUGAGAACCGGUUAAUAACCAACUGGGAUAAUGGGGGGCAUAUGCCCCCUGUGCUCCCGAGUUCCGUUGCUCUUGGGUAGCCCAACGGGUCCAAGACUUCGKGAAGUAACGAAACCCGGCACGGAAUGUGCCAAGGAACCUGAACAAGAUAAGUGCAGUCCUGUUACCCCCGUUCGCGGGGUGUGUCGGGAUCAAUGCGCAAUCUUUUCUAUAAAUAUCAAAACGACUCUCGGCAACGGAUAUCUCGGCUCUCGCAUCGAUGAAGAACGUAGCGAAAUGCGAUACUUGGUGUGAAUUGCAGAAUCCCGUGAACCAUCGAGUCUUUGAACGCAAGUUGCGCCCUAAGCCAUUUGGCCGAGGGCACGCCUGCCUGGGCGUCAAUCAUCUAUUCGUCACC